rnacentral:rRNA from 1 species
CAGGUGGUGCAUGGUGUCGUCAGCUCGUGUCGUGAGAUGUUGGGUUAAGUCCCGCAACGAGCGCAACCCUUGAUCUUAGUUGCCAGCAUUUAGUUGGGCACUCUAAGGUGACUGCCGGUGACAAACCGGAGGAAGGGGGGAGACGUCAAAUCAUCAUGCCCCUUAUGACCUGGGCUACACACGUGCUACAAUGGACAGAACAAAGGGCUGCGAGACCGCAAGGUUUAGCCAAUCCCAUAAAUCUGUUCUCAGUUCGGAUCGCAGUCUGCAACUCGACUGCGUGAAGCUGGAAUCGCUAGUAAUCGCGGUUCAAGGGCCGCGGUGAAUACGUUCCCGGGCCUUGUACAC